AAGAUUGCAUGCCCUUUCUACAUUUUUAUUUUUAUGUGAUUAUGUAUUGUUAACAUACAUUUGACAUGAUUCACGACAAAAUACAAUUUUAUUCUCUUUAAAAUAAACGUCACAUACAUCAGACAUGUUGUUAUUGGUAUAAGUUUCGUAUUAAGCUGAUCUGUUUGAAUAUUUAAUUUUAGUUUAUUAUUUAUAUUUUAAAACUUUAAUAGAAGUAUUCAGGUUAUAUAAUUUCACUCAUUUUUUUAUUGUAUUUACCCAUUAUGUUUUCAUUUUUACGACUGCGUCUUUAUUGACACUAUUCGUUAUAAACGAAAAAUUGUCAUAUCGUCUGGAUAUUCUGGGACCUUAUAAUAUAUAAUGUCAUUAUGAAUAAAAAGAAUAGAAAUAAACGUGGCUUUGUUUAAACCUUUUCAUUUACAAUGCAUUGUGUAAUAGCCAGAAUAAAUAUUUCGUACUUAUUAUCUCCAUAUGUUGAAAUUUAAUAACUUUUUGCAAAAAUAAACAAACUUAUUCGUUCUGUCAAUAUGUCAGUAUAUUUGGUUACUAAUAUUUAAUAUAUCAUAAUAAAACUUCAAAUUGACAGAGAAUUAAAAUUAUUGCAAUCUGAAUAAUUACUUCUGUACCAUUGUCUUAGCCAAGUACUUGUCGGACUUCGCAGGCAUUUUAGCGUGGAAUCGAUAACGACAGCUUAUUGGUUUAUCUCUGUGACCCCUGCCAGUUUGAUUGACAUGCGGCGUAAUGUCAAUUUACUAUCUGGAACGAAUUAAUCGGGCGGUUUUAUUGCUAUCUCACCGUCAUGGAAGAGUAGAUGUUCAGCAGUACACAAUAUACAUUUGUUAGAAUGUGGUAGAGUGUUAUUGUUUUAAAAUCACAAGGAGUGCAGUUAAAUUCAUAGAAAUAUUAUGAUUAGAUGCAAAUCAAGAUAAAGGCAAUGUCAAGAAACAGACGUUAUAGAAGAAACCAACAAGAUAUCACUCUAUACGUGAAUGAAAAUUUUAUCGAUUGCAUGUCAAACUUUAUUUUAUCAUGUUUUGCUUAUUUAGUUUUGUUGUUGUUGUUUUUUUUUCUUCUUUUUAUCAAUUAACAAACAUAUCUUGAACAAUAGAUUAUACAUGUAUCGUACUAAAAAUAAAUAACAAAUAAAUGACGACCAAAUUUUCAUAUGUAUUUUAAAGACGCAAAAUGAAGAAGAUAGAAAGAUGAUUAAAUAUGCGAUGUUAAAGUUCUUUUCAAUAAAUACAGGAUUUGUUUUUAUCGAUUGAAACUAGUAUGAAAAUAAAUAUUUCGCGAAUAUUUAAAUAUUCGAACUUUCAUGCCACAGUGUGAAAAUUAAUUAAUUCCGUAGGUAUAGAAAAAAAGUUGAAUUUUCUGUUUAUUCCGUUUGUUCGACAUUUAAAUUUGAAAUACUUCUAAUUUCGUUAUUUGGCUGAUUUUAGAAGAAUGUAGUCCGGCAAGACACCAGUGAAAAUACGGAAAUAUGUUGAAACAGAAAAUAUUGAAACAAACUACUCACUUUCAUGUUAUCAAUAUUUCUCAAUAUUUCCGAACUUAUAUUAAGGAUAUUUAAUAAUAUAAUGAAAAGAUGAUAUCAAGGACUUUUUUUAUAUAAUUACAUGAUUAAUUUCAUCGAGUGGUAUGAAAAUGAUUAUUAUACAAUUUGUUAUAAACACGGAUAAGAUAUAAUUAAUUGGAUAAUCAUGAAAUUAAAUCCCGUUAUUUUGGACAAAAUAAUAUAUGUUUUUGUUUAUUAAAUGCGUUUACUUUAUUUAAAAUUGUUACAGAUAUUACAGUCCCAUUUUUAUUUAUUUUAAUAUGUAUAUAAAUGAAAGAAGUUACGACUCGAAUGAAAGUACGGAGAAUAUAAUACACAGCAGUAAAUGUAAUCUUAUACAGAGAAAUAUAUGGAAAAUUAAAAUACGCAUUUCAUUGAUGAAUACAUCUGAAUAUUUUUUCAUAAGUGUAUAACUAAUGAAACAUAUACUUUACACUACAUGUAUAGUAUAGAAUAAACAACUACAACUACAUAAGAAUAAAAAACUAAAGAUCAGCAUGCCUAUCAAUUUGUUAUGUUUUCAAUUUACUUAAAUGAUAAUACGUGUACGGUUGUUUGAUAAACAUAUUUAUGUUGUAAAAAAUAAGUUGAAAUAGUUUACAGAUAAAUGUCAACAGUUUUAUAUAAACCAUUAUUAUAUUAUUUAUUGAAUGUAAUUAUUAUUGGGUGUAUUUUUUGUGUUUCUUCUUUAUAUUCUCAAAUAAAAGUAUGAAAACAUGUAUCGAAAAUUAA